GGGGAAUAUUGCGCAAUGGGGGAAACCCUGACGCAGCAACGCCGCGUGAAGGAUGAAGGCUUUCGGGUUGUAAACUUCUUUGAUCGGGGACGAAAACUGACGGUACCCGAGGAACAAGCCACGGCUAACUACGUGCCAGCAGCCGCGGUAAUACGUAGGUGGCGAGCGUUGUCCGGAAUUACUGGGUGUAAAGGGCGUGUAGGCGGGAUGUCAAGUCAGAUGUGAAAUACCGAGGCUUAACUUCGGGGGUGCAUCUGAAACUGAUAUUCUUGAGUGUCGGAGAGGAAAGUGGAAUUCCCAGUGUAGCGGUGAAAUGCGUAGAGAUUGGGAGGAACACCAGUGGCGAAGGCGGCUUUCUGGACGAUAACUGACGCUGAGGCGCGAAAGCGUGGGUAGCAAACA
rnacentral:rRNA from 1 species